rnacentral:rRNA from 1 species
CCAAUAGCGUAUAUUAAAGUUGUUGCAGUUAAAAAGCUCGUAGUUGAAUUUCGGGAUCAAUGUUUCGGUCAUGCCGUUGGUAUGUACUGAUAUUAUUGGUUUCUCACCUUCUAAAGAACCGUAAUGCCAUUAAUUUGGUGUCACGGGGAAUUAGGACUGUUACCUUGAAAAAAUUAGAGUGUUUAAAGCAGGCUAACGCUUGAAUACAUUAGCAUGGAAUAAUGAAAUAGGACGUUCGAUCUUAUUUUGUUGGUUUCUAAGAUUGACGUAAUGAUUAAUAGGGAGAGUUGGGGGCAUUAGUAUUCAAUUGUCAGAGGUGAAAUUCUUGGAUUUAUUGAAGACUAACUACUGCGAAAGAAUUUGCCAAGGAUGUUUUCAUUAAUCAAGAACGAAAGUUAGGGGAUCGAAGACGAUCAGAUACCGUCGUAGUCUUAACCAUAAACUAUGCCGACUAGGGAUCGGAUGAUGUUAAUUUUUUAAUGACUCAUUCGGCGCCUUACG